rnacentral:rRNA from 1 species
AGCCACAGCCAUUUCACAAGACCGGUUACUCACUGAAGCUAAGCCGGCCUGAGCCUGGUCAGUACCUGGAUGGGAGACCACAUGGGAAAACUAGCUUGCUGUUGGAG